GACAGAGGAUGCAAGCGUUAUCCGGAAUUAUUGGGCGUAAAGCGCACGUAGGCGGUUUGUUAAGUCGGAUGUGAAAUCCCUCGGCUCAACUGAGGAAGUGCAUCCGAAACUGGCAGGCUUGAGUACUAAAGAGGGUCGCGGAAUUCCCGGUGUAGAGGUGAAAUUCGUAGAUAUCGGGAGGAACACCGGUGGCGAAGGCGGCGACCUGGGUAGAUACUGACGCUGAGGUGCGAAAGCGUGGGGAGCAAACAGG
rnacentral:rRNA from 1 species